rnacentral:lncRNA from 1 species
AUGAAGGCAAGUUGCAAGUUGUCAAUAGGAUCUGGACAACACAUGAAGCUUCCACCGUUCAGCUGUGUGUGUGAGAGAGAAAAAGAGGGAGAGGAUGGCUAACAAGAUGAUAGAUUUGAUGCGACGAAUGGGGGUGAAGAGGGUGGGUACCUGUGGUUGAGUGCUCCCCGUCCCACGGUAGUGUUUACUGGCUCUUGGCAUUGAUGAAGAGAAGAAGAGGGGGGAGGGGGGGGGGUCAGCACAAUAGAGGAAUAGAAAAAGAAAAAAGAACACUGAAUAAUAGAUACUGAUUUUUUCUUGUAUUUGUAGGCUGUAACACAGCAAAAGAGGGCUCAGUUUUGUCUUUGAUCUUCAAGCCUAACACUCACAUCUCUUGCUGCAUGACAUACCCAUCACAAUGUAAACGAACUGCCCUGGUUAUCACUCGUCAGAAUGACUAUCUGAGGCGCAGAACAUCCAACAUAAAGCUUAGAAAGAUCGAGGAGGCCAGAUUUAAGCAUUAUAUCAAGUGUUGUUCUAACCUGGCUUGUUCGCAAAUAUUCACAGCUAUGACUCUGCAUCAUCUAAGAAAGCACUUUCUCAAGUGUUGUUCUAACCUGACUUAUUCGCAAAUAUUCACAGCUAUAACUUUGCAUCAUCUAAGAAAGCAUUUUCUCUAAUAUGUAUUACGAAAAACUGAACCUUGAGGAACAGAGUGGAAUGAAUCAAUUCAUCAUAGACACUGCGUAUUAGCAAAUCAUGUAGAUGCACCUCCCACUCCACUUUCUUAUAAGUGCUUCUCAAAUUGAAGAAAAAGGAAGAUCCUAAACUCUAAAAUUGAACCGAACCUUUUGAUUUCCUCGUCAGAUUGCAUGCGUGAGCAUAAACAUCCGGCCCAUGCAUCUAAAUACUACUAAACUCCUAUCCACGGAUAAAUUGCAAACUGGAGCAAGGUAUGCUAAAAUUCAUUUAGCAAGUGACCAAACACAUGGUCAGACCAAAACAAUCAAUUGGCUAUGCCGACGUAUACCUAGCAAUCUAACAGAAAAGGUCCAAAAAGGAGGAGAAGAGGGAUUAACCUGUAGAUCAAUGAAUGUAGACGCAACGGGGUCAAUCGGGUCAGACUAAAGGAGGCACCAGCAAGAGCGGACGGAUCGAUCUGCAAGGAAAACAAGGGGCAAUCAAAGAGGAGGAGCAGCCAACGGUGGCCAAGGAGAGGGCACAACAUACACUGUAAGUGCAUCCAGUGCCCCUUAGUGAUUUCGGUGGUUUGAAGACUUAUAGGUUAAAUAUCUAAUGUGUUUAUAAGUGUACACAUGAUCUAUAAGUCAUUGAGGAGUUUGAGAUAUUUGAAGAAUAUCGACCCCUAAAAAUAUAUGUCUUCAGUUGAAGAAAUUGGUCUGAAGCUGAAGAAAUGAAUCGCGAAGAAUUUGCGAUGAAAUUGAUAUUCCUCAUGAAGAUAUUGAUAUUGAGAAGAUCGGUGGUUCCUGAAGAAAAUCGUUCUGAAGAAAUUGAAGCAUGAAGAUUUACGUUUUCUAUUUUACUUUCUUCGCAUUUGAUGAAUAGGAACACCGUACUGUUAAAGGGGGUGAAAGUAACGCUAUGGAAUGAAUUUCCUCAUGAUGCUCAACCCAAACCAAAUCCUACCAAAAGCCUCAAGUGAGGAAUAUGACUGACAUGAGGACUCUCACAGUUGAGGGUCCCGACCGUUUCGAUAGCCACGCCAAGUCACUGGUCUUAUCCACUCCAACGGUCAUAUUAUUUAAAGGCAUUAAUGUCAAAUCAUGUCGGGAUGCUCCCAGGCUAUAAAUAGCCGCCCCCCACAACCACUAGCUGGUUGGCUGCUCCGUUAGAAACUGACACUUGUCAUAAGAGCAACCCAAAUUCCUCAGAGCUUUCGAGAGUAAAUCAUCAGUGAGGAAAUACACCACCCACCGAAACCACAAACCAAAACUAGUGAUUGAGCAUCACUGAAGAAGUUGUUCCUGUGUGGGACUGAAGCCUUUUACCUUUGAGGACUGUGCAUCCUCCAGACGGUUAGACGUCAUGGUCUAGAGCAAUCCAGCAGUCAAUUGUGGAUCGCCGGGUGACCGAGUUUGUGAGGGUUUGGAAGUCUGCCCUGAAGACUUACCAUGAGUGUUGGGCGAGGACUGUGUGUCCUUAGCUCAAGGAGAAUGCUGUAGGGACUGUGUGUCCUUUGGUUUCAAUACCAAGCCGCUCCAAACCAGAUGUACAACUGUCACAACAGUUGGAACUGGGUCAUCAACAACAGUCUUCUCCAAGAAUCGGGUUCUAAUUCCUCAACUCUUUACUUUCUCUGUAUUAUGUGUUGAUGACUUUCACUGUGACUAUUUGAAGAAUUUGCUGAAGACUUUCUCUGAAUUUCCUCAACCCCAAAUUCUUCACUUGAGUUAAUCAUCAUCUGUAUUCUGCGUGCCUGCUUACUGUGCAAUCUGUUUUCACAUUCUUCACUCUGUAAUACUGCUAUUGUGAAAGUUUGCACGUCUGAUCCGUAACCGUUUCCGCUGUAAGUUAGUCGUCAGUGAGGAAUUUCCUCAAAAGGAAUUUCCUCAGUGAUGAAAUUCUAAAAAUCUCCUAUUCACCCCCCCUCUAGUCGAUAUAACGCACUUUCAUACACAUACCUGUAAGUCAACGACCACAUCAACAGAUCGACGACCCCAGCAACAGAUCCAGCGGAGUGACUAAAUUAGAUGGGACCUGCACGCAAACAAGAUCAUGGAUCAACGAAGAACUGCGUGGAAAACCAACGGGCAGCAAGGAAAGGCAACUCACCUCAACCGGCGCCACCUUGCCCCGCUUUUCCCUGUUGCGCGCGUCCUAUCCUGCUGUGGCAUCGACGAGCGCGCGUCCAGCCAUGACCACCUCGCCUCACCACUCCCCAUCCGUGUGGCUGCUCCUCCACGACUCGGGCAGAAGGGAGGCAGGAAGAGGUAGCGGCUUGGGCCGGAGAGAACGACGACGGAGGAGCGGCCAGGCUCGAGCUCGGCCACGGCCGCCGCUGCGCUCACACGCCCGGCUCGAGCUCGUCCAUGGCUGCCGCUGCUCCCGGCGAUGGGGACGCUCGAGGUUGACGGGGGAGCAGAGACGCUACCGCCGGUGGCGGCCCCUCCAGAGUGCAAGAGGAUGAGCGACGGGGAGGGGGUGAAUGGGGAGGGUGGCGGACGCGAUCUAGGGUUUGGAGAGAAAUCUAUUAUGCAUACAUGUGAUCUUUUCUGUGAGCUGACGAGGUCGCUGGUGGAGGAUUAAGGGCGGGGAAACGCCGUUCGUGGCAAGGACCGUGGCCACCGUGGCCAUGAGGCGGACGAGAAGGGCGACGAGAGGCAUGGAUUGGCCAUGCUGAUAUGAGGGUCGGCGAGGAGGGGAGCGGCAGGAGCGAUGGGGUGGGGGAAGUUGGGGGCUGGGAGUUGGAUGCGUCGUGCGGG